AGUUUGAUUCUGGCUCAGAUUGAACGCUGGCGGGAUGCUUUACACAUGCAAGUCGAACGGCAGCACGGACUUCAGUCUGGUGGCGAGGUAGCGAACGGGUGAGUAAUGUAUCGGAACGUGCCUAGUAGCGGGGGAUAACUACGCGAAAGCGCCAGCUAAUACAUGCGCCCUUCGGGAAAGCGGGGGACCUUCGGCCUGCUAUUAGAAGCAGCCGAUAUCAGUUAGCUAGUUGGUGGGAUAACGGCUCGCAAGGCGACGAUCCGUAGCUGGUUUGAAGAGGACGGCCAACCCACACUGGGACUGGGGAGCGGCCCGAACUCCUACGGGAGGCAGCAGUGAAAUUUUGGACAAUGGGGAAACCUGAUCCAGCCAUCCCCGCGUGUGCCGAUGAAGGCCUUCGCGGGUUCUCAACCACUUUGGCGGGAAAGAAACGGCACGGGAUAAUACCCCGUGCAACUGACGGUACCUGCAGAAUAAGCACCGGCUAACUACGUGCCAGCAGCCGCAGUAAUACGUCGGAAGUGCAAACGAUUAAUCGGGAAGAAAUACGGGCGUAAAGCGUUGCAGGCGGUUCGGAAAGAAAGAUGUGAAAUCCCGGAACUUUGCUGGAACUGCAUUUUUUAACCGAGCUGAAGGUGUGUCUCAGAGGUGGAAUUCCGCGAUAUGCGGUGAAAUGCGUAGAUAUGCGGAGAACUUUUAUUAGCGAAGGCAGCCUCCUGGGAUAACACUGACGCUCAUGCACGAAAGCGUGGGGAGCAAACAGGAAGGUUAGAUACCCUGGUAGUCCACGCCCUAAACGAUGUCAACUAGCGUGGGGCCUUCGAACCUUGGUAGCACCAGCUAACGCGUGAAGUUGACCGCCUAAGGAAAUACGGUCGCAAGAUUAAAACUCAAAGGAAUUGACGGGGACUACCCACAAGCGGUGGAUGAUGUGGAUUAAUUCGAUGCAACGCGAAAAACCUUACCUACCCUUGACAUGUCUGGAAUCCGAAGAGAUUUGGGAGUGCUCGCAAGAGAACCGGUACAGGUGCUGCAUGGCUGUCGUCAGCUCGUGUCGUACGAGAUGUUGGGUUAAGUCCACAACGAGCGCAACCCAUGUCAUUAGUUGCUACGAAGGGCACUCUAAUCGGAUACCGGUGACAAACCGGAGGAAAGGUGGGGAUGACAAAUAAAUCCUCAUGGCCCUUAUGGGUGGGGCUUCACACGUCAUACAAUGGUCGGGAUAGAGGGUCGCCAACCCGCGAGGGGAGCCGUCCCAGAAACCCAGUCGAUCCGGAUCGCAGUCACAACUCGACCUUCGUGAAGUGGAGAUCAUAGUAAUCGCGGAUCAACAUGUCGCGGUGAAUACGUUCCGGGUCUUGUACACACCGCCCGUCACACCAUGGGAGUGGGUUUACCAGAAGUAGUUAGCCUAGCCGUAGGGGCGAUUACCGUGGAUUCAUGACUGAGGUGGAAAGUCAUAACAGGUAG
rnacentral:rRNA from 1 species